UGGGGAAUCUUGCGCAAUGGCCGAAAGGCUGACGCAGCGACGCCGCGUGUGGGAUGACGCCUUUCGGGGUGUAAACCACUGUUGCCCGGGACGAACGAGAUCUUUCGAGAUCUGUGACGGUACCGGGUGAGGAAGCACCGGCUAACUCCGUGCCAGCAGCCGCGGUAAUACGGAGGGUGCGAGCGUUGUCCGGAAUCACUGGGCGUAAAGGGCGCGUAGGCGGCCUGGCAAGUCGGUGGUGAAAGCCCGAGGCUCAACUUCGGGUCGGCCAUUGAUACUGCGAGGCUUGAGUCGACUAGAGGCUAAUGGAAUUCCGGGUGUAGCGGUGGAAUGCGUAGAGAUCCGGAAGAACACCGGUGGCGAAGGCGGUUAGCUGGGGUCGAACUGACGCUGAGGCGCGACAGCGUGGGGAGCAAACAG
rnacentral:rRNA from 1 species